rnacentral:rRNA from 1 species
AUUGAACGCUGGCGGCAGGCCUAACACAUGCAAGUCGAACGGUAACAGGAAGAUGGUUGCUUCUUUGCUGACGAGUGGCGGACGGGUGGGUAAUGUCUGGGAAACUGCCUGAUGGAGGGGGAUAACUACUGGAAACGGUAGCUAAUACCGCAUAACGUCGCAAGACCAAAGAGGGUGACCUUCGGGCCUCUUGCCAUCGGAUGUGCCCAGAUGGGAUUAGCUAGGAGGUGGGGUAACGGCUCACCUAGGCGACGAUCCCUAGCUGGUCUGAGAGGAUGACUCGCCAAACUGGAACUGAGAAACGGUCCAGGCUCCUAAGGGAGGCAGCAGUGGGGAAUAUUGCACAAUGGGGGGAAGCCUGAUGCAGGCCUGGCGCGUGUAUGAAGAAGGCCUUCGGGUUGUAAAGUCCUUUCAGCGGGGAGGAAGGGAGUAAAGUUAAUAACUUUGCUCAUUGACGUUACCCGAAGAAGAAGCACCGGCUAACUCCGUG